rnacentral:rRNA from 1 species
AGAGUUUGAUCCUGGCUCAGAAUCAACGCUGGCGGCGCGCUUAACACAUGCAAGUCGAACGAGAAAGUCCGCAAGGAUGAGUAAAGUGGCGUACGGGUGAGUAACACGUGGAUAAUCCACCUCUUAGUGGGGAAUAACUCUGGGAAACCGGAGCUAAUACCGCAUGAGCCUGGAAAGGGAAAGCAGCAAUGCGCUGAGAG